UACGUAGGGGGCAAGCGUUGUCCGGAAUCAUUGGGCGUAAAGAGCGCGUAGGCGGCCCAGUAAGUCCGCUCUGAAAGUCAGGGGCUCAACCCCUGGAUGCGGGGUGGAUACUGCUGGGCUAGAGUCCGGAAGAGGUGAGUGGAAUUCCUGGGUGUAGCGGUGAAAUGCGCAGAUAUCUGGAGGAACACCGGUGGCGAAGGCGGCGAUCCUGGACCAACACUGAACACUGAUGAGCGAAAGCCAGGGGAGCAAACGGG
rnacentral:rRNA from 1 species